UACGUAGGGUGCAAGCGUUGUCCGGAAUUAUUGGGCGUAAAGAGCUCGUAGGCGGUUUGUCGCGUCUGCUGUGAAAACCCGAGGCUCAACCUCGGGCCUGCAGUGGGUACGGGCAGACUAGAGUGGCGGUAGGGGAGAUUGGAAUUCCUGGUGUAGCGGUGGAAUGCGCAGAUAUCAGGAGGAACACCAAUGGCGAAGGCAGGUCUCUGGGCCGAUACUGACGCUGAGGAGCGAAAGCGUGGGGAGCGAACAGG
rnacentral:rRNA from 1 species